GGCGGGUGCCGGGGCGGUCGAACGGUGCGUUCUCGAAACGGGGCAGUCCGUGGGUUCGAAUCCCAUCCCGGCCG
rnacentral:tRNA from 1 species